UGGUCUUGAUCGCUUGACAUUGUGAUCUGCCUGCCUCGGCCUUCCAAGGUGUUGGGAUUGUGGGCGUGAAUCACUGUACCCGGCCUACUAAGUACCUUUUAAAUGCCAGACACUGUUGUGAUGCUGGGGAGUGAGCAGGGAACAAAAUAGAAAAUUCCCUGCCAUCUAGGAGCCAGCAUCUUAGUUGGGGAGACAGUCAGCAAACAUAUAAAAAAAGUAAAAUAUGUAAUCUCUUAAAUGGCAGUAAGAGCUACAGAGAAAAAUGAACGCAGGAAGUGGGCAGUGAGUGGUAGGAGUAGGUGGGUGGGCAGGAAAGGUCUCAGUAAGAACAGUUUAAGCAAAGACCUGGAUGAAGCCAGGCAAUGAGACCUGAGGUGUUCGGGAAAGAGCAUAGCAGGCAGAGAUACAGCAAGGGCAAAGGCCUUGAGGCCUGCCUUGGACAAGGAAAAAUAAAGAGGCCCGAGCAGAGUGUGCAAGGGGAGAAGCAAUAGGAGAUGAGGGCAGGGGGAUACAGCUGAGCAGUUUGGGCUCCAGAAAUACAAAAAAAAGGGGGACUCCUUAGGAUAGGUGGGCUACCUAAAAAAUCUUUAUGUAGGUUUUUGUUAGGCCCUGGGCUCCCUCUGACUGAUGACCUGGGUGACUUGUACUGACAUCCCCUUCCUCCUCUUGUAGGACCAUAGAGCGGUGAGAGGGUGGGGCUGGAGGACAGACCCUGCAGGGCCAUCAUGAUGGCUUCAGCUUUGAUGCUAAGUGAAAUGGAAAACCUUCUGCCCUGCUCAGUGCCCGCUAUCUCCUCCCCACACCCCAAGUCAGGAGUAGAGCUCUCUGCCUUGACCCCCAGCUCAAUUACUGGAAUUCUCCUUCCCCUGAUUCCAGCAGACACAGAUUCUCAACUAGGCUACAGGCUUCCCCAGAACAAAACCCCUGCCUAUUUACAUAUCACUGCAUGUCUGACUGGGGCUUGGCACCCAGUAGGGGCUUAGUAAAUACCCGGUGAAUGAAUGAGCAGUUAAGCAGAUCCUCAGAUCUCACAUUGGUCACCAGCUUUGUGACUCAGCUGCUCAGUCAAAGUCUAUGUCAGUUGGGUGCACAAAAUCAGUCCAUUAGUUAGUUGGAAUCAGCCAAAUAAUAAAGCUGUUGCUUGACUGAAUUUCUAAACUGGCCACAUGAAACCUGUGUGGUUACAGUCUCAGUCUCUAUGAGAACUUUGGGGCUGCAGCGUUACUGCACAGGUGUGUCCACCCCACUGCUUUCUGGUAAUGAUGGAGGUUUUUCCCGCCAUUUAUUAGUGAUGAAGGGUUUGUUGGAAAUAAUUGUAUUUUUAGCAGCACAGUUAAUGAACUAGCUAAGCAUCAAUAGAUGAAAUCAUAAAACCAUUAAACACCAAGAGCAAUAAUGGGAAACUGCGUCUGGUGGUAAUGAAAUUAAGUAUCUUUAUGAGGUCACUUUAUUACUUUUCUCCUCGGCUCUCUUGCCCUCCCAAGUACGUGGUGACUGCUGCUCCUAAUUGCUGUUUCACUGAAAUGCACAAUGCUCUCCAUUUGGCGUUUUAAGUUCAGUGUAUUUCUAGGGCCUUCAGGAUCAUUAAACCCUCCACCAAGAGAGUGCAAUAGAAGUUGCAGUUAUGAGAGUUUCUGGAAGUGGCCCAGUAGUACAGAAGAAUGAGGAUAGCAGAAAGGGUUGAGAAGGAGUUAAGAAAGACCUGCUGGACUUUACUGAGCCCACACUGUUGAGUCACGUGGUCAAGGUUGAGCCUAUGCAACUUUGGCACAGCCUCCAAAGCCAGGGCAAAGUCACUCACAGAGGGACUGGGUGGCUAUGGUUAUACCUGUGCUUGAACCAUGCUUUUCAGCUUGGGAGCAAGCUCAUGUGCAUGAUUUCCUUUGACCCUGUGACAAUCCCAUAUGAUACGUUUUUAUUCUCACUUUUCAGAUGAGGAAACUGAGGCUCAUAGAAUCACCCAGGUCCCGCUGCUGUGUAGAGGGCAAAGCUGGUGUGCUUUCCCCAUGCCAGAGGCCUUAAGGAUCUGGAGCCAACUCACUUGCUAGUGAUUUAAACCUUGUGCAACCAAACUCAUGGCACCAUACUUAAUGCAAUAAUUCAAGAAAUAUUCAUUGAGUAUCUACUGUAGGCUAGGGAUACAAUGAGCAAAACAGAAUCCUUCUCUAUCCUCAGGGAACUUAGGUGUAGCUGGGGAGAGUUCCACCAGCAACAACGUGCGGUGAGUUCGGUGAAUCAGAGAGAAAGCACCAUGUUACGGAAGCUGCUGGCAGGAGGCUCCGAUCAUAUCUAUGGGACAGAGAAGCCUUCCUGGAGGAAGCAAGGUUUGAGCUGAAACCUGAAGGAUAGAAGAUAAAUAGAUGAAGGAGGGGGAAGAGUGCACAGGCCAGGAGGAAGCCUGCACAAAGGCGUGGCUGACAUGUAAGAGAGAUUGGUGGCUGAGGAACUGGAUUGAUUUAGGAGGCAUCAUCAGUCGAUAAGGCUAAGGAACUGAUUCAGUUGUGGGGCUCAUGGAGAGACAGGAGUUGGGAAUCUGCACUCCCCGCCCCAACCCCAGUUCCUGGCAUGGUCACCUGUAGGGUGGCAGUGCAUUUACUGAGACAGGGGGUGCUGUGGAGGAGCCUAACGGUGGAAGUGAGGUUGGGAGAAGAUAAUGAACGAUUAUCUUAUCUAUGGUGAUGAAAAUGAGCCCUAAAAGGCAGUUCAGCUGACCCAACUUUGUUAUGAUCUCAGGGUCGAGAACUGAAUUAAAACCCCAAUGUAGACAUGGUGUUAAUUAUUUCACUGAGGCCACCGAUUAAGGCUGUAAACACUGAGUUUGUUUCUACCCUACUGAGAAAUCGAAAGGACAGAGUGAAGCUUCAACAUGAUCGUCACCAACUGGAACAAUCAGGCUAAACAUGAUGAAAUGUAACAGGGAUAAAUUUAAAUUACACUCCUUAGGUUCGCAAAAUCAGUUGUUUCUGUAAAGGAUGAAAAACCUGACUUAACAGCAGCUCAUGUCAACAGAACCUAAUAGAGUCAGUUGGCUAUGAAUUCCACACAAGCUGACGUGGUGCUGUGGCUGCCCCUUUGUAAGGAACAUGGCUGUGCUGCAGCCAAGCAAGGAUAGGCCAAGGUAAACAUCCUGCGUGACUCAGUCAAUUUGUAGUGCAGGAGCAUAGCUCCACUUGUUGUAUAAUCACAGCCAUGUAGCCAUAAUAUGGGAAGGCUCAUAACUUGGCUUGGAGCCACUAUCGUCUGUAAAAGGUGUAAUUGCCCUGCUGACACUGUACAGGCAUGCUCGUGCCCAGAGAAAGACAGAGAAAGCCAGAGCUGUCCGUUUUGUAAAUGGACGAGGGGGAGCCAGGACACAGCUUGGCUCGCUUGUGCCCAUAGGGCAAGAGUUAAGCUGUUUACCCUGAAGGGACUGCUGGUUGUGUAGCUGUAUGUGGGAGCCGCUGCAGCAAGCAGCCGAGACAGAGACAGACAGUGUAAGAGAGCUGCUGAAUAAAGUUACAUUUCACCUACUUAUGGCUCCCUAAGUGUUCCUCCUAUCCAUCUGCCAUUCAUCCACCAACUCCCUUCAGACCUCAGCAUGAGCUGGAACCUGACCUUAAACUUAACAACCUUCUUCCACUUCUAAUGCCCCCUUGAUGUAUGAGAUGUUGGAGAGGAACCCAUGAAACUUCUCUGAUAAGGAUAGAGAAGAACCUGUAAGAAAAGUGCAGCAGCCAAGGAGAGAGGCCAGCUCAAAGAGAUGUCUGUAAGGAAGUCAGGGCUGGCUUAUAGGCUCGAGUGUUGGGGAGCUGCAUGCCGUGUGAUUGGAGGGUGUCUCUAACAAAAUACCUGAAAAAAAACAAACAGAGGCAAGGGGCAUAAUUCUGAGCUAACCAGGGGGCCUCAGAGAGAGGGAUUUGUUAGGGCUAGGAGAAGAAGGAAGGAUGCACCAAGGAAAUGAUAAAGGAUGAAGCAUUGCAGAAAAGCCGGUUGCUGUAUUAAUUCAUGUCAGUCAUGUGUUUGAGCUCUGAUUUUGUGUAUAGCCCUGUGCUGUGGGAAAUGCUGUGAAACAACAGCCACAGAAUCAACAGCGCUGACUGGUAUGGCUCAGAUGACCAGUGCUAUUCAGAGGAUGGUGAGGGGUCACCAGGGAAGAAGCCAUGGAGGAGCUGCUUGAGCAGUCCCUUGAUGGAAGGGGCUGGGGAAGAUGUCACUGCAGGGCGUGAGCUGGGCAAGGUGAAGAAAUCAGCUGACUGGAGUCUUCAGAAAUGGGGUGGAAUAGGUAAGGGAAAGCCCAGAUCUGGGCGUGGUUUGUGGGCCAGGGAGGAGCUGAGAUGGGUAGAAGCUGUGGAGGUGAGCUCUUCCCUGGGGAAUACAGAGUUCAUGGAAGGGUCUCCUGGCUCCUGGCUGGUGAAGCUGAAUUGAAUGAUAACCCUGAACCUAUAACUUUCCUUUUGAUUGUUUUCUCUCAUCAUAGUGUGUGCCCUGUGUUGUUGACGACCCUUGUGUUGUGCUGAUAAUUCAUCACAGAGGUGAGUGCCCAGAGAACAGUGAGGAGGGAAGCCCAGAGGCAAGGUUUUGCGGGGAGAAACCCCAGUGCUUUAUUAUGAGAAACCAAAUGAAUGAGAUAGGGAUGAGCAGGUGAUAUCUAAAUUGUAUACAGUCCCCUUCUUCCUUCUUUUCUUCCUUUCUUUCUUCCCUGGUAUGGUUUGAAUGCAUCCCCCCAGAGUCAUAUGUUAGGUACUCCCCAAGGCAAGUGUUGUGAGGUGGGACCUAAUGGGAGGUGUUUAGGUCAUGAGGGCUCUACCCUCAUGAAUGGAUUAAUGCUGCCAUAUAAGGGGUUUCUGGGAGUGGGCUCUCUGUCUUGUCCUGCCUUCCAUCAUGUGAGGACACAACGUGCAAGGCACCAUCGUGGAAGAACAGAAUAUCUUCAUCAGACAUCAAACCUGCUGAUGCCUUGACCUCAGACUUCCCAGCCUUCAGAACUGCUACUCAACGUGAAGACUUGAGGAUGGAGACCUUUAUGAUGAUCCACUUCCACUUAAUGAAUAACCCAAUUUAUCUUCAGGCUGGGAAAAGAAAAGGAAGGCCUGAUGAAAAGUAUGUAUUUGGCUUUGUUUACAUUAAUGAAGUGAUUGGACAGAAAAAGUUACAAUGACUUUUUUCUUUUGUGAAAAAAAUUAUUGGGAAUGGAAUUUUGAAGUCAGGAAGACUGAAAGAGGACCCACCGUUGUCUAUCUGGAAGAUGUAUCCAAAAUGCCCAGGAGUUUUGUGUGCAUGUGUAUGAAGGAAGUUCAAUUAGAAAAAGCUUGCAGCUUGGGCAAUACAGCAAGAUCUCGAUUCUAAAAAUUUUUUAAAAAAUUAGCUGGGUGUGAUGGUGUGGCACCUGUGG